CAAUAGUUGGCACCUAAUGGAUCUCCUAAAGGGGAUCAAAUAACUAAGAAAAUAAGAAUUCCUAAUACAAGUAAAAUGUAUAUUAAGAGGCUGUUCAGUUUUGAAUAAGAUUCAAACCUUUUACCCAUUUAAAGAAGCUUUCUCUAAGGCUCCUAAUCUCUGAUUUUUGAAACAUACAUGCAUAUCCCGACAUGCAAUUCCAGUAGC
rnacentral:lncRNA from 1 species